UGGUGGAGUGAUUUGUCUGGUUGAUUCCGAUAACGAACGAGACGGGGGAGGUUUACUAGGCUUGGGUAACUUGCGUUACUUUAAGUCUUCUUUACCUGACAACUUGGUUUUACCAAGGGGAAGCGCCCCGCAAUAACA
rnacentral:rRNA from 1 species